AUCCCCUGCCUCCAUACAUGUAAACCCACACACAUACUUAUCCCUACAUGUGGUCUCACUCUCGAGCACACAAGUGUGCACACACACAUAUGCAAACGACCACACAUAAACACAGAAAAGUAAACUUGAAACUCCUAUUUAUUGAGGAUUAGGAAAAUCUAGAAAAGUAUAAAGGAGAAAAGGUAAUUAUCUGACAAUCCCACUUGAAAACAAUUGUGAUUAAUUAUUAAUAAAUUAACUUCCAAUUGGCUCAUUUCUUGCUGCGUUCUUUCCAUCUAGAUGAUUCUGUAAGCUUGCGAUCUUUGACUUGAGUCAUUUUUAUUUAUGAUAAAACCAGCCAGCCACUACCCAUAGAUGGCCCAGUGAGGUAAUUGCCUAGCUUCAAAGUCUGUGUCUUUUCCAACAGGCGAGAGGAUGCCUUCCCUGUGUGUAGAGUUAUGUAAUUUGUCUAAAUCACACAGCACUAAAGGAAGAGCAAACCCACAAAUUCGGGUGUGUCUCUACAGCACAUUCACCUCAGCAGAUGCUCAGAGACACAGACAGCUCCCUCCAGCCGGCUGUGAUCCCUGGGAACAGGAGUGUCCAAUAGUGGCUGAGCCCGGUCAGGGGCCCCAGCCAGCCAGUACAGAGAAGGAAGGAGCACUCUCUGCCCAGCUCCUCUCUCUUUCCUACCUUCUCCACAUGCAAGACGCCAAGAAACCUAACUGCCUGGACUGCAGGUUAGCUUGUAGAAACCAGUGGGUUUUUUGCGCUGAUAAAAUAAUUUAAUCCAAACCUUCCUUUUCCCUGGGAAUCAAAUUACGAGAAGGUCCCAAAAACGCGGUUCUGUUGUUCUCAGUCUGGACAGUGCCAGAGACGGUGUCAAAUUUUGUUGUUGUUGCUCAUACUGUGGUUUAUAGUUGGAACUUUGUGCAGACAUGGCUUUGUUCUCUCCUGAGCACUCUGAUUCGCGCACAAACUUCUCUCUUGUACAAGUCAUGACUGAAGCAUCCUGAGCAGCUCUCGAGCAGCCAUUGAAAGAGCCACUUCCUUGGGCAGAUCCAAGCCACAAAGUUGUUGGGGAACAUUGGUUGCCACCCCUAAAGGGACAAGCCUGUUGUGAACGGUCCAACACCGGCAAACGACCCAGGAGUCAGGGUCACCCUGGGCUGAAAGCAAGAGGGUCUUUUCCCCUGACCUUUUCCCCCUUGGGGGCCCUAAGUCCCGAGGAGUCAGGUAGUCUAACUGCCACCGGCUCUUGGUUGGACCCGAAGAGAGAUUGAUCCGAGGCGAAUGUUUGCCAAGCGAGCGAGGGAGGCACUCUGCCGCAGUAGGGAUAAGUCAGGCUGCUGUGCCAGUGGGUGAGUCAGCGACCGAAAUGCCCUCUCUCCAUUGCAUAACUCUAAACACAGGCUUUGCCUUCCGGAUAAUCACUCCCCUGGCGGUGGCACAGCGGGGCCUAUUUCCUGAAGACAUGCGUGGGAAAAAGAAGUUUUCCAGGCAGACUUAGAUACCCAGGCUUCCAUGCUGAAUAUUAUUCCUUCAAGGACCAUUUCUUACAGUAGACGGCAGACAUGAAGGCAUAGGAAAUGGGUGGAUGACAGGCAAAUGGAGAACUUGGCACUCAUGCCAAGAGCAAAAUCAAAGCUGCCUGCUCAGGCCGAGUUAGGAACGUUGGCUAUUUGGUGCCUAUUGCUUGCUUACCCAGAUCCUAACCCAAACUCAAACUGGAACUUCCUGGAUGGCGCCACCUUGCCCUGACAGGCAGUCUGAAUUUAUUAACUCAAAUUAUCUCCCAGGCAACCCCUGGCCAGAUCCUCUUUAACCUGGGUUUCAACCUUUCAUGCUCCAACUCACUGGCCUGCACUGUCACAGCUUUGAAUGGGACUGUCUUUGAGUUCCAUAAAGAAGUACUUCCCCCAGAUCCCACGCCACCCAAAGGCCAUUUGUAACCUUCAUGGAGGGUAUCUUGGUUUCCACUGGCAGCAAUGGUUACUCAAGCUGCCUCUGAGCCACCAGAAGAGAUCCAGAGCCAGAAGACCUUGACGCUCAGUGGUACACGCAUGCGCAGGAGACCUUGCCGAUCAGCGGUACACUCACGCGCAGACCCCUCCAAGGUGCAUCCCUGCAGAAGAGCUCUCUGUGAGCUCGCUUUGUACACUAGAGUCUCUGCUUGAGGAAAAGCCUUGGACAUCGAGUUAGGAAAGCUGUCAGAGACUGUUUUGCACAACAUCAAACACAUUCCAGGCCUUAUCUAAUCAGGGAGCCUUCUCCGACAGCCAUGCAGAGGCUGUUCCUGCAAAACAUUCCCCAGGCAGGGCGAGGGCCCUGAUUCUAAAGGCAAAGUAAUGGCUCUUUUGGCACAAGCAAAGUUUGGCUGGCAGCUGGAGCUUUGAGGUGACCUCUGACCCUCUCCCACAGUUCCUCCCAAGUCGAGCUGCACCAUUCUAAGCCACCCUCAAAUCCCAGGCUCUAAUUGGCUCUGGUUUGUUUUGCUUUUCUCUUCUGUCCAGUGCUUCAAAAGGCAUUUCAAUAAUUGUUUGAGGCACGAAAAAGGCAGGGUUCAGCUUUCCUAACUGGAAUUGGAGGUAAUUACUGUCUUCCAUGUGCGAGUCGGUACAUGCUGCAAAUCACGUGGCUCUGGGUUGCUCUACGGCGGGUGGCCAGGCCUCUGAGCUACAGGGAGGAUUAUAGAACUUCGCAAAGGUUCUGCUUCAGAGAGAGAAGAAGCCACGCAUCUCAGAAGUGCUAGAGGAAUUGUCUAUAUUCUGCAGUCCCCUCAAGACUGCCCAAGAGGUUUGGUCUGAAGAGACUAUGACUUCAGUUCUGCCCUGGAAGUUUGGGAUUUGCUUUUUUAUUUUGUUUUCUCUCAAGAGACAGAAACUGGCCCCACACAUAACUCUUUUCUUGUUUGAAAUCAGUAACCUUGGGCUCCACCUAGGCUGCCCGACCUCAGAACGGAACUCAACACAGUAAGGCUAAGACCCGCCUCAAAGAACCAGAAGAAGGAUUCGUUUUGUGCAUUCAAAACAGCAAACCCAAAUGUGGAGAGUCUCUGGAUGGCUCCGCAUGUGGACCUGGAGCACCUCGUUUAAUCGAUCAGCUGACUCACAGGACCUCACCCACGCAGUGAGAGCAGUAACUAAUCCAACCUCAGAGAGUGUGUGGGGUCCACAUGGGGUUAGCCCACGUGAAGUGCCUGUUUGGGACCUGUGUAUACCAAAUGUUCAAUAAGUGUUAGAUGACGUUCAAUGUCAGGGCUCCUUCUGCUGCAGUCAGUCUGAACAGGGUCGAGGAAGAGCAGCUGGGAAACAGUAUAAGGAAGCAGGGAGGCAGAGGGUGCCAGCCCCAAUCCGGUGUCUUUCCUCUCAAGGGAUUUGUCUUAAAUAUCUGAAGUUGCCUGAGAUCCAUGUUGGAGACUUCCUACUGCCUCUGUUCCCUUGGGUAUUUCAAGAAACGUGAACUAGCUAUGCUUCCUUAGCUCCUCCCUGCUUAGAAGCGCCGAGAAGCAAUGGGUUUAGGUUGGAAUAGAGACUGAAGAAGGAAGAGAAAGGUGAUCUGUUCAAAUUCUGAGACUCUGAAAUUGCUGGUCUGGCUUGUGGGAAGACAGGAGACAGGACUCAGAUGUAUCCUAGGGCCCUGGGUGAUCCAGGGAGCUACCUCAGUCUCAGCCUGGCUCUCAUUCGGCAUCCUGAAUGAUCUUAUCCAGGCGGAGGGCUGCUGUCCUCACUGUGCCGCUGGCCCUUCCCUUUCCAAUGUCCUCCUCAGAGCUCUCCAUCUCCUCUCACCUCGACCCCAGGUCCUUAAAACCAAUCAAACCCCACAUCACAGCAAGGACUCCGUGGAAACUCCCUCUGAGCAGAUGACCUUUGCGGGCCGCACACCUUCCUUUCAUAGUCCCAAAGACAAUGCACAGGCACACCCUUAUCUGUGUAUUUGUCUCCUAUCUACUUCUAGAUAAACUAAAGUUCAUGUGAAUGAGGCCAAGUUUCUCUGUCCUUUUUUUUCUUUAACGCAGAUGACUGUUGCGUGUGAGCUUUCCUUAUUCUGUUUAUGUAGAUCUGAGUGAUCUGGUAGGUCCGUGUAUUUACUGAAUGAAUGACUUCUUUCUCUGUCUGUCUCCCUCCUUCCCUCCCCUCCCUCUCUGUGUGGUUACGGUGCUGGGAAUUGAACUCAGGAUCUUGAUCACAUUAGGCAAAUGCUCUACCACAAGCUAUAUUCUCAGCCCUGAAUCCAUGAUUUCAAAGCAGAGAUGGUUUAUGCAGUCAGGAAGAGUUUCUGGACACAGAGAGAGACUAGAAAACACUUGAGAUCACAUCUUGUUUUUCUCAAGUGGGGCCAUUUGGCUUUGUCUGCCUUGUAUUUGAUGAAGCUUCAUGUUUAAUAACAGCCCUGAAUUGUUAGGAUAAACACACCAGGCACAAUCAUGAACAAGCUGCAAGCUUAAAUGCCUGAAACAGGGUGUGUCUACAGUGUAUGCACAAACAUGGUUGACUCUCUGUUAUCCACUCCAGCACAUAAUCUAAUAGCCGGUAAUCUAAUAGUUUACAAUUUAAUAUCCUACAGCCCUGAACGUUUUACAUGUGGUUUUGGACUAUGUUUCUGAAUUUGCAUUGGAUAUGGCGACUCUGAUAGUCUAAGAAUUCAUUUGAGCCCCUGUGUCUAUCACCAUUGCCUCUGUGGGCUAGAAAGGGCCCUCCUGGGCUCCCAGCACAUGCAGAAAAAUACUGCAUUAAGCUUGGGAGUCUGGGGGGCAGUAUAUUAGCCUUCAGUCACAGAAGUUGUCCGUCCAAACCCCAGCUCCUCCAUAUGCCAGCUCUGUCUUUGUUCUCCUAUCACUAUCCACCCCCCAAGACUAUUUCAAAACAUAGUUAAGCUUUCAGGAGAAAAAAAAUAAAGAGUCUAAACUGCCCGGUCAGGUGGGUACACAAACCAGUCUAAGGCAGAGCUGGGAUCCCUGGACACUUUCUGUUUCACAACUGGGAAAAGGUUUGUUUCUUCUCCUUUUCUUUUUAAACUUUUUUUAUGACGUGUGUGUGUGUGUGUGUGUGUGUGUGUGUGUGUGUGUAUGUGUACACAUACAUGUGCAUGUUCCAAUGUAUGUGCCACUGUUCUCUCUUCCAACCAUGUGGGUCUAGGAAUCUGGGUCUUCAGGCUUGGAACAAAGCGCUCUUACUGACUGAACCAUCUCGCCACCCCUUCCUCUCCCAUUCUUCAUCCUUUCCUUUUUCUGCCCUAACUAACUUUCUCUUCCUGGCUCAGCGGAAGGUAAUCAACAGCUCUUUGCUUUAAAAACCAUUCCUGGCUGUGACAGUUCUUGAUUCUGCCUGUACCCCCUCAGAAAGAACCACUGUCCUGAGCAGUCUGGUGUUGAGCUGGCUGAGGGGUUCCUGUGCUAUACCAGCUGCCUACUGGGCCAAACCGUGAAGUCUUUCUCCUCGAUGGGACAUAUGUCUAUCUGGGCAUGUGUUUAUGCUGACUUGGGUCAAAAUCUCCAGGCUGCAAAGUGGAGACAUCCUGAGAUCCAAUGCAGAGCCAAUCGUGUUGUCAGUGAGUAGCUGGAAACCCAGAAUUCCCACCUCUUUUUCCUGUCACGAAGUUAUAUCUCGAGGUAAAACAGCUGCCGGUUCUCUAGCCAACUGGGACAGACGCCAGCUGUUUAUUCCAGAUGCCAAGAGCCAUAUGCACACCCACUCUCCUCUCCCACUCCCUAAGCCUGAAGUCUCAAAUUUUAUUGAAUUUAUUAAUAGCCUUAAGGGUUUGCUAAAAAGAGUUUUCCUACAGGCCCUGCCUCCAGAGAAACAGACCUCCUUAGUUCAGGAUGGCCAAGAAAUCUACAUGUUAAAUAACAACACUCCCACCCUGUUUUGUCUCCCUAGAAUUCCAGCGUAAUCCUUCAGAGAAUUAUAUCUGGAGGGAUGGAUAUUUGCUAUGGUGGAGGUACUGGUAUGUUGGUAAACGUGUGGCCAUCAGUGAGUGUGGGAGUCUGAUUUGCAGCCUGCCAAUAUCCGUGGUGUAAAUAUUCUCGCUACUGUCAACCAUGUUACUGUGAUUGUGAAGGUGGGACAAGGUGUGUGCACGCCCAUGGUUCCAGCACACCGUAGGGUGGUGGCAUUCCUCGGAAGCUUCUGGAUGGCUCUGUGUGCUGGUUCCUGGGCUCUUAGUGUAGGCUGCCUGCCCUCUGAAUCUUUCCUUACAUCCUUCAGUCCGCUAAUGGUCUGCUUUGGUGACUGGUUCCCAGUGCUCUCACAGGGUUCCAAAUCAGAAAAAGAGGGAGAAGGACAAGGAAGAAGGGGAGAAAAUUCAGUCAGUGUGGGAUGCUGGCUUCGGUACACUGUUCAUUUGGUUCACCUGGCUUUUAGUGGGAAGGGCACCCUCAUACCUGCUUCUGGCCCAUUUGAUAAACUCUCUGGUCCUCUGAGUCAACCUGACCCUGCUGACCUGGAGGACGAUGAAAAGACUGGAUGCUGGAGGAUCUGAAAGGAUGGAAGACGACGGAGGAGGUCCCCAGGGUGCUCAUAUGACCCAAGGUCACUGGCCACUUAAGGCCUUCCCUUUGUUUCCCAGCUCUGGCCUUGUGUUUGAAGGUUUUGGUGAUUUCCUCCUGCCCCCAACCAGGCAAACAGAUAUGGAAAGGUUUCCAGUUCCCAAGGCUCAGGACACAGCGGCCUGCUGCCCCCCACCCCCGCCUGUAGACCUGGGUCUGCCCUCAGACAGGAGAGCCACAUAGUCACUAACCAUAGGGCCCAGACCAGUCAGCGUUCAAGUCUGUUCUGCACUUCUGCCAGCUAAACUAAGCGAGAAUGAAGCAAUGACAUCGUGUGCUCUGGGCUAGGAAUCUCCAGGCAUUGUAGAAGAGGUAAGGCCUCAGUCCUUCCACACAGCCUGCUGCUCUCUAGACACAUCGUACACAUACUGUUGGCAUGAGUGCCUCGGCAGCCCUGGCCUGGAGCAGGAGGGAACCCUACUGACCUGAAAUGGGUCUCUUCUGCAUCAGCUAGCUUCGCUGCCCGUCAGAUGAAGGGGAGCUACAUAGAAGUGUGGGUGUUAGCUUCCUCAUCCGCUAUGUAUUCAACACUGAUUGUCCGAGGAACUUCUCAGAGACUGAUGAAUGGGAUAAACAAAGGCAUGAAGAUUACUCUCAUUGCCUUAAUAAAGAAGCCGUUUCUACCCUAGCCACCGGAUAUAUACUGCUCUUUAUCGAUAGUGUCCUAGCUUACAGAAGAGGCAGCCUUUACGGCUAUGCACAAAGGUUUAGUCCAUGCAUGCCUUAGCACAUAGCAGUCGCCUUAAAAUGGGUCACGUAAUGCAAUGUCACUUGUUUCUGAAAACAGUGGCUCUCAUGGUGAGUCUGGGGAACCUUUGCAGCCCAUGACAUAGGGUCAUUGUGUCAGCAAGGCCACAGGUAUUUCCCUAAAAACAGCAAGAUGCUAUUUCCUUCUUACUAUGUUGACAUUUGGGGUGACAUCGCGGUCACCAGACUAUUCUGGCCACCAUGGUAAUCUUUAGUGCUACAAACUUUGGGGGUAGGUGAGAGGACGAGGCCAGUUGUGUUUCAGAAUGUUCUAGAUGAAGCAGCCAUAAAGGCUUGCCUGCAGCUCCCUCGUUUACUGUCCUGUACAAUGAGUUGAGAUGUGGGGGCAUGGGGCCCUGCUAGCACAUCUCUCUGUGAGCUGCUGUUCUUGAGAAGUACCUGGGGGUGUUGUGAAUAGAAUGAACCACUUUUGCAGAAUGCAAAAGUCUAGAUAAGCUUAGGUAUUCAGAGAAGGUCAUGUGGCAGGCAUUUUCUGAAAAAAACAAAACAAAACAAAAAGAAACAAACAAGCAAAAACAACCACCCGAGAUUGCCACACAAAGGUGACUGACAAUAUCGGUGGCCAAAAUAGAAACUUUGAGCAAAACUUAGAAGUUUUGAAAAAAUGUCUGCCGCCACGGUCUUGACACCUCCCCCACAUGGACAGACGUUUCUGAUUAAAUCAACAGUGCUGUUAAGAAACACGGAGUUUUCGUUUUCAUCACGGAAUAGAUCAAACUGGGGAGAGCUGCACAGUUUAAUGAAGCAAUGUUUCCCAAGUGACCCAUGCACAGCGUUACCACGCACACCCUAAAGACCCAGUCCAAGUACAAGCUGGACCUAGGGAUUUUAACGUACUCAAGAACACAGAGUUCACUGAUUGGGUUUCACAUUCCACAUCGCAAGUAACCUUCUAUUACUUGACUACAGAGUCGAGUCAGAGAAGAUCCGUAAUUAUCUGAAAAGGCCAUUAAAGUACUCCUCCCUUUUCCAACAGUGAAGGAAGGCUGUGCCUCCUUCACAGGCUGCAAACAAAGCAACAUCAGGACCACUGACUGCAGAAGUCCAUACGUGAGGACCCAGCUGUCUUCUAUUAAGCCAGACAUUAAAGAGAUUUGAAAAAAAACAAAAAGCAAAAAACAAAAAACCCAUGCACUGCCAUCACCCUUCUCGCCACACUUUGUUUUGUUUUGGUAGGCAGUUGUUUUUACAAUGAAAAAUGUAUUUAAAUUUUUAAAUGAGUUAAGGUUAACAAAUGACUAAGUAUUAAAAUGUAUCCAUUCAAAUGAAUAAAUAUAGUUUGUUGCAAUGCAACAACGCAUUGACACUGUUUUCUGUUUUAAUUCACAGCACAAUAAAAAGCACUUAAUUAUGGUUGCGUAACGAAGCACCCUCGGCCCGUUAGAGUAAAGCAGCAUUACUCCUUGGUUGUUUCCCAUAGUUCCUGAGACUCAGGUACGCCCUGGGUGGGUCAGGGUCUCUUGAGGUUGGAGCUGUCUGCAGGCCACACAGGAGUUAACGGAUCUGCCCUGAGAUUGCUGACUCUCUGAAGCCCGGGACAGUUGCUGGCUUUUGGCAGGUGCAGGUCUUGGUUUUUCUCCAUGAGUAUUUCCAGUGGACUCAAAUCACAAGUGACUGGUCUUCCUCAGAGUGACAGAAGAGACCAGUUAGGGACCUGAGGGCCCUUUUAUGACCCUCCCUCUGAAGUCACUUUACUUGUGACAAGGGCUAGCUGGCCCUGGGCAAGCACAGGCAAGCAUGAGUUCUAGCUGAUGAGAAUUCAGAGACUGUCACCCGAGGAUUUACCAAUGGAUACAAUCUAUGUAAACAAAGACUCUUUGGAAUCAUCAAUGAAACUCAAGACACAAUGCAGCUGAGAGUGCUAGUCUGAAGAAACCAGUCUGAAUAGCAUGCUAUCAAAGACUCCAUUGUGAGUCUUCAAAAAAAAAAUUUUUUUUUAUUUAUGUGGAUGUGUGUGCCUGUGCGAAUUUUAUGUGUACCAUAUGAGUGCAGGUACCUACUGACGCCAGAAGAGGGCAUCAGAGCCCCUGGGACUGGAGUUCCAGGCAGUUGUGAGCCACCAGAUGCUGUAACUGAAGCCAGAUCCUUUGCAUAGGCAUUAUGCGCUUGUAACUGCCGAGGCAUCUCCCCAGCUCCAAGGAAGGCAGCCUCCCUUACUCUGCCGUUGUUCCCACAAUGCCGUGAAUGAGUCAAACUGAAGUUUCUACAGCAGCCAUCAUGCAGAGUACUAAGCCCUAUGUGAUCAGAGUGAGCUACCUGGAUCUGCCCCUGGGAGUUUUAACUCUUCUCUUUAGCCUACUUGUCUUACUGUGUUGUUGUUGCUGUUGUUGUUGUUGUUAUUGUCAUCGUCGUCUUGGUUGUCAUCCUUGUCAUUGUUUUGUUUUGCUUUUUGAAUGGCAAUAGCCUAGCUGGGAUGGCAUCAUUAGUCCUUCUAGAUCAGGCUCCCUGGACAAUCAUGGUCUCCAAGAGUUGGGUCACUAAUGGGCAAAGACUGGAACGAUUGAGGCAGAAGGAGGAGAGCUCUGAGUAUUGACGGAGGCACAUGAUUUGGCGUCUCAGUGGCUGAGGUAGCGGCUUUUACUCUGAACGCAACAGGAGCUUUUUGAGCCUGUGUGGGUGGGUUUAAGAGACACCGGAAGUAGUCUGACUGUUAAGCUGAAAGUACAUUUUAGAGCAACUGGGAGGGUUUGGGAGGGUGUUAGGAAGUUUUUGUAGCAGUCAGUUAGGGAGGAGAUGCAGGUGGAUGAGACCAGGACGCGGCAGUGAGACUGUGAGGACCAGUUGGAUUCCAGCUUUGUUUAGACAAUGGAGCCAACAGACUUAAGGGCAGCUUGGAAGUGGGCGUGACUGGACAGACAGAUUUCAAGGAUGGCUCCAGGGUUUUGAUCUGAACAGCUAGAAGCCUGAAGUUGUAUUAAUUGAGAAAGCCCUAGUUUGAAAGGAGAGAUUUCAAAAGUUUCAUUGGACUGGGCCAGUUUCGCCCGAGCUUUCCGAGAGAGACCCCAGCUGCCUUUGCUUCUGCAGUUCCAGCCGUGCCUCCCCCCCGAACAGAGACUGCCUGCUUCUUGGAAAACCAAAGCAAGUCAUUCACUGUGUGAAAUUUUGUUUCAGGGAGUGUGAGAAUGUUAGUCUUGGGCCUCUUGCUCCUUUCCCUUGUCCUUAUCGGAAAUGAAAGAAAACAGGCAGUGGAGAUAGGAUCUCCGUUGAACAGUUCUGGAAGGUAAUUGGGAGUUGAAAACCUCUCCUGAAACACUUGAAACAGGUGGAGAGAAUUUCAGCCCCAGCUCUUAAGCCACACAUUAUCCUGCCCUGCAAAUGACUUCCUUCUAGCCCCAGGCAAACCCCAACUUCUACCCUCCAAAUGCCUGCCAUCAAUAGAGCUUUAACAACAACAACAAAAAAAAAACCCAACAUGAGAAGGAGGGGCCUGAUCUGCGACCCUGGAAGGGCUGCUUGAGAGCCUCCUUCUAGAAUGGUGCUUCCCACAGGGACACAUGAGGUGGGACUUUUGAUGUGUGUGUGCAUGCGUGCACACACACACACACACGUACGCAUGCACACAUGCACGCAGUUUUAUGACCGAAGGUUAUCCUCAGGCGUCGUUUCUCAGAUGCUAUCUACCGUGGGUUUUGAGAUAGGGUCUCUCUCAUUGGUCUGGAAUUCAGAAAGUAGGAUAGGCUGGGCAGCCAGCAAAAACCAGGAUCUGCUUGUUCCCUUGUCCCCUGCGCUGGCACACACCACUGUGCCUGGCAUUCUUACUUGGUUUCUGGGAGUCAAACUCAGGUCUGCCGAGUGUGGAAGCAAUCGUUUUACCAACUGAGCCACACGUAUCUGCAGCCCCAACUUCUUUCAGACUGUUGUGAGGGGUUGAACCCCUGCCUUGAGCCAAAUGAUUUUAUUGUCUUUGCAGUGCUGAAUCUCAACCUUGUACAUACUAGGCAACCGCUCUACUACUGAGCUAACAUAGGGCCUUGUGUUUGCAUUUGUUUUGUUUUCAUUUUGAGACAAGAUCUGACUAAGUUGCUCUAACAGGUCUUAAACUUUUAAUCCUCCUGCCUCAGCGUCCUGGAUAGCUUGGAUAGGCCUGUGCUACCAUGCCCUCCAUUAAAAGAUAUAUAUUUUCUUGAUUAGAACUGUCCAUUUGUUUCAUUAGAACUUCAUACCACUAACCAUGGUCAAGCCCUUUGCAGUGACUAGAAUCUCCAGACUCCUUUAUUGAACCACAAUGUGUUAACCUUUCCACUAAAUAAAGCAGGGCCAGAGAUGCUAAAUUCUGGCUUAGAUCAGUCAACGGAGGGUUGACAGAGCAGUUCUCGAGGGUCUGGGAUUACUGAGAAAAAGAAGGAUUGUGUUAUACUGUGGGGAAUGUACCCAGAGUACCUCUCAUUCUCAUUUCACAUGUCAGAACACAGAGGGACAGGGAGACUGGGGGACUUGCCACACGGCUACCCAACUUCAGGGUCAUGUAUGGAGAGUCACAAAAUCCUCAGAGGCUAUACCGUUUCCUGGUACCUUCCACGAGCUAGGCACACACUCUAUACCUUGUGCUAACCUGUUUCUAUGGAAUUAACAUAUUUUGCAAGGAAGUAAAACUGUCCAAUAGAAAUUCUUAUCUUGAAGGAUAUGCUCUGUGCCUUCACUGUCCAAUGAAGGGGCCACCAGCCCUUACGCCAUCAGGUGUUUGACACGUGGUGAGCGAGCCUCGGCAGUACAUUUUUACAUAUUAUUUCAUCUUGACUUAAAUGUGGUUGUAGAUGGUUAAUGGCCACUGCGCUGCUCAGCGGAGUUCUAUGUGGUUCAGUUGACCUAAAUGCUGAUGAGUUGACAUGACAAGCCAAUCUCAGGCCUGGCUGAGCUCCAAAGGCACGCCUCACCUUUUCCCCCAUCUCCUCUCAGGGAAAGUGCCUGGCACUGUGCAAAGGGAAAAGGCCUAGGAAGGAAGCUGACGAGACAACAUGCAAUCAGCCAAAAAUAAAGCCAGAUCCUAACAGGUUGGUCAGUAUUUAUGCCGGAGGCCCCGGUGGGGACCAAGCAGCUCAGAUGAAGGUUGAGAUGCUGCACCAGAGCCUGUCAUGGUCCUGUUGACCGAGGGUUCUGUGACUCACCAGUCCCCACCCUGACUGUUUAAACAGCAGGGCUUCCUUUUUCCGGGCCUACUACUAAUCCACUAAUUGGUAGUGAGGUAGGGAGCUCCCAGGCCCAGCCUCACCCUGUCAAAACAUGCAGCCUCCUGGGGCUUCCACCUGAGACGCUGCCGAUGAAGAACAGCUACGAUGUUCCAUGUUCAGAAGCCAAGUUGGAGAGGUCCUUGCCUUCCAGUCUUUCCAGUGUUCACCUCUGCUUCAUCAGCCCUGCUCUAAGGCCUCUGAGGAGAUCGGUGAUGGCUGAGGACAAACCAAAAGUCACCAAAAGUUUCUAUGGUCAGGUACUGCCGUCUGCUCUGACACUGCUGUUUAAACAGUAAGGCAUCUCGCCCUUCACUCCGUUAUAAUUCCUUGCUGUUUCCCCAAACACACUGAACUCGCUCUUCUCUUCAGACUGGACGGAUCUUCCUGCACUUCCCCUGUACUCUCUUCACUCAGUCUCAACUCACAGGUUACCUCUUCAGAGAGGCCUCUGAGGUCCCACUGCGUGCAAAACAGUGCAUGUGAACCACGGUCUCCUAGCCCGUGUUACACUCUCCAAGGCACUUAUCACCGUGCAUUGUCAGACAUCUGAGGGUUCGACCAAUCAUGGGUGGAAAACAUUCAGUCAAAGGGUGCAUCCCUAACGGACAGUUCAGAGCCUUUUCUGUCUUUGCUCUGUGGAGCACAGUGUAGCAGCUGUGUACUUGCAUGGCGUUUGGCACUGCAAAUGGCGCUGAGGUGACUCGAUGUGCGGGACAGCCUGUGCAUAGCUUAAGUUGAAGCGCUGUUAUACAGUGUGUAGGCCUUGAUAUCUGUAGGUGUCCUGGAACCAGUUGCCCCCGGUUACCAGGUAUGCUUGCUUGGUUACAUCUGUCAUCCAUAAUAAACUGGGUAAAGAGGAAA